ensembl:misc_RNA 7SK 7SK RNA
AGUUGUGAGGGCAAUCUGGCUGCAUCUGUCACCCCACUGAUGCCAGGGUUGAUUCAGUUGGCUAGGCCGGUGUCCCCUUCCUCCCUCACCCCUCCAUGUGCUUCCCUCCCGAAGCGUCAUGCUCUGAGGAAGAGGACGACCUUCCCCUCUUCCUCCUCCUCCUCCGCCCAGGAGAGGGCCGGUCAAGGGCUCCCCUGCUAGAACCUCCAAACAAGCUCUCAAGGCCCCUUUGUAGGAGAACGUAGGGUAGUCAAGCUUCUAAGACUCCAGACACAUCCACACGAGAGGCUGAAUGUGGAAGUCUGCAUUUCCAAAAAU